AUGUACCGCUACCGCGUCGGCUCCUUCCCCUUUGAAGAAGAGGUACCUAAAACCAAAACUGAAAAUUGUAAGCAUGAAUCUUAGUGAGUCCCCCCACUGUACCACAUACCAUAUAAUCACAUAACAUAUAUAUACUGCCGGGCAUAUCUCGGUGCCCGACCUACCCCUUCGGUCCUUACGACCGGAUACUGCCUUGCAUAUCUGGGUGCCCGACCUACCCCUUCGGUCCUUGCGACCGGAUACUGCCGGGCAUAUCUUGGUGCCCGACCUACCCCUUCGGUCCUUGCGACCGGAUACUGUUGGGCAUAUCUGGGUGCCCGACCUACCCCUUCGGUCCUUACGACCGAAUACUGGGGACUAUUUCACCCCCUACUGCUACCACAUAACACAUAUCACAUAGCAUCAUAUCAUACUAGCACAUAAACAUAACACAGGUAGUAGCAACCCUAGAUGAACAUCACAGUGACCAUCAUCUAUCAUACAUCUCCUACUGGUGGGCCGGCAUUGUGGUCGUAGACCCACCGCUACUGGAAGGUAACUCACCUCAAAGUAGCUGCUGAUCUGCAUGGGAACUGACUAUUUGCUGUUGCUGCCGCUCCGGAAAUCCUCCGACUAUAAUUCCCACAAAACCCUUAGUCAAUUACUGCUAACCGACCUCAGGGUAAAAUGACAAUUUACCCCUUACCAAUCAAGAGUCAAGUCAAAGUCAACUGCCAGUUGGCCCGACUCGCCGAGUUGACUUGCCAACUCGCCGAGUCCCUAUCCAUUUGUCCGACCAUAAACCCGUCUCUACUCAUCGAGUUAAGCAUUGACUUGACGAGUUCUCCUUCUAAACUAAAGGCCAAUAGUCCUUCAUCCUACUCGCCGAGUUGUAUGAACAACUCGCCGAGUUCUUCUUCAUCCGAAGAACACUCUAUGCUGAGACUCGCCGAGCUGUAUGAACAACUCGCCGAGUCUGUUCUUGAGGUAAGAAGAUUGCCUUGAACUCGCUGAGUCAUGGCAUUGAUUCGCCGAGUUACUUCAUGAGUGAGUUUGGCUUCCGACCCACUGAGUCACACCCCAUGACUCACUACUCCAACCCGCAACACGAAAAAGGGGGAAAACUCGGGGACUCGCGACUCGACUCGCCGAGUCUGCCACAUGCAAAUACUAUACACGCGAUUUUGCUUGAAUCCAGCUCAUGCCAUUCAUAGAUCUGGGUUUCUAGGGCCUGAUUAACACGUAAAGUUUCCAACUUUACGUGUAAAUAAACACCAAUGAAGGUUUUAGGGCUCAAAAUGCACCAAAAGAGUAGAUCUAGGGCUUUCAUGCAAUAUGGCUCCAUAAAGGCAGCAGAUCCAAGCUCCUGGAGCUCAAGCAUGCCUAGAUCUAGAGGCUAAACAACUUAUUACGAACCCUAAAACACAAACAAGCUUGGGAAAAGGCUCAAGAAGGACUUUCAUGGAGCUACAAGGGACAAUAAGCAUGAAAACAGAGGGAAACUGAGUUAUACCUCAAGGAAAUCACUGAGAUAACACAAAUAUGCCUGGCCUCCUUCUUCACUUCUUGAUCUACUCUCCUUCCCUCUCCAAAUUUUCAAGAAAACACACCAAAAUGCUUCAAUCUCACAAGGAACAAGGCUUGAACGAAGUAUAAGGCUCUGAGAGUGAAGGGGCAAGCUUACGGGCGGAUAAGAGGGUUUAAAUAGGGUGCAAACCCUUGAAAUUUAGGGUUUCAUCAGACAGCUGGGACUCGUCGAGUCUAAAAUAUGGACUUGCCGAGUCGCCAACUUAAAAGUGUUCCGGAUCCCUUCGCUAUUCAGCGAGUCGGACCUACAACUCACCGAGUCCAAGGCUAAAAAAUGAAAAACACUAAGAUAAAUUUUACGUACCAGGAACCAGGUGCUACAAAUCUCCCCCACUUAUUUUAGACUUCGUCCUCGAAGUCUGCCGCUCGAUCCUGAAACAGCUCGGGGUAAUGCUCCAUCAUUUCUUCCACCGGCUGCCAAGUCCAUUCUGAACCCUUGCGGUGCUGCCAUUGCACCUUCACUAAUUCCACCCUCUUGUACCUUAGAUCGUUCGACUUCCGGUCGUGGAUUGCGACUGGGCGCUCAAUGUAAUUUAGGCUGUCAUCAACCUGUAUAUCCUCUAACGGCACCACCGCUGAAUCAUCCACGAGGCACUUCUGCUGCUGGGGGACAUGGAAGGUGUUGUGGAUCUGACUGAGCUCGGCUGGCAGAUCCAACCUAUAUGCCACCUUGCCCACCCGGGCUACAACCCUGAACGGACCAAUGUAUCUCGGGCCCAACUUGCCCCGCUUCCUGAAUCGAAUGACGCCUGUCCAAGGCGACACUUUCAGGAGAACCAUAUCCCCGACCUGGAAUUCCAGGUCUGAUCGAUGCUUGACAACGUAACUUUUCUGCCGACUUUGUGCAGUCUGAAGCCUGCUUCGAAGCUGUUGGAUCCUCUGGGUCGUCUUGAGCACCACCUCGGUGCUCCCCAUGACCCUCUUGCCAACUUCACCCCAACAUAUCGGGGUCCUGCACCUCCGUCCAUACAACAUCUCGAAUGGGGGACGGUCAAUACUCGCGUGGUAUCUGUUGUUGUACAAGAACUCAGCCAAGGGAAGAUAGGUAUCCCAGCUACCACCGAAGUCUAGCUCGCAUGCCCGCAACAUAUCCUCCAAAGUCUGGAUGGUCCACUCACUCUAACCAUCUGUCUGCGGGUGAAAGGUGGUGCUAAAAUGCAGACGAGUGCCCAACUCAUCAUGAAACCUCUUCCAAAACCUGGAAGUGAACCGCACAUCUCGAUCUGAUAUCACUGACACUGGCACCCCGUGCCACGCCACUAUCUCCCUGAUAUAGAUAUCGGCCAACUUUUCAGCCGAGAUACUCUCCUGAAUCGGAAUAAAAUGGGUGCUCUUGGUCAACCGAUCCACGAUGAUCCAAAUCGAAUCUACUCCUUGCGCCGUCCGUGGAAGCUUUGUGAUAAAAUCCAUCGUAAUAUCCUCCCAUUUCCACAUCGGGAUAUCCAACGGCUGCAUCUUGCCGUGUGGUCUCUAAUGGUCGGCCUUGACCUUCCUGCAGGUCAAACACCGCUCGACGUACCACGCCACAUCCCGCUUCAUGCAGGGCCACCAAUAGUCUAGGCGAAGAUCCCGAUACAUCUUCGUCGCCCCUGGAUGAAUAGAGAAUCGGGAUUUGUGCACCUCCCCCAUCAAGAUUUGGCGCACGCCUCCGUGAUACAGCACCCACACCCUACGGUGUAGUGUCAAUAACCCUCAGCUAUCAUAAUCUAAGGAGGUGACUUGACCCACUAUGCGCUCACUCUUUCGAUGUUCCUCCUUCAUAUCCUCCUGCUGAGCUUCCCGAAUCUGCUCUAACAGGGGAGUCGCCACUGUCAUCCUCAUGCAAAUAUCGUUGAUCGGCGCCGCCUUGUGGCUAAGCGCAUCGGCCUCCACAUUGGCCUUUUCCGGGUGAUAAAGGAUCUCGCAAUCAUAAUCCUUCACCACGUCCAGCCACCGGCACUGCCCCAUGUUCAGAUCCGGCUGAUCCAUGAGGUACCUCAAACUCUUGUGGUCCGUGAAAAUGGUACAUCGAACUCCGUAGAGGUAAUGCCGCCAUAUCUUGAGGGCGAAGACCACCGCUCAACUCUAAAUCAUGCGUCGGGUAGUUCGCCUCCUGAGGCUCAGCUGCCUCNGCAUAAGCAAUGACAUGUCCCGUCUGCAUCAAUACUGUGCCUAAGCCCGAGAUAGACACAUCACAGUACACCACAAAAUCCUCUACGCCCUCGGGCAGGGCUAAGAUUGGCGCCUCACACAAUCUCUGCCUCAGAAUCUCGAACGCUGCCUACUGCUCAGGCCCCCAUCAAAAGACCACGGUUUUCCUAGUCAACUGAGUCAGGGGUACGACUAUCUUGGAGAAAUCCUGAAUGAAUCUCCGAUAAUAUCCUGAUAAUCCAAGGAAACUCCGAAUCUUGGAUGGAUACUUCAGAACCUCCAAUCUCAUCACGGCCUCCACCUUGGCUGGGUCUACUGAAAUCCCGUUCUGGUUGACGAGGUGCCCAAGAAACUGCACCUCGCGCAACCAAAACUCACAUUUGGAGAACUUGGCGUACAAGCUCUCCCUCCUCAAGGUCUCCAAAACCUCUCUCAGAUGCUCCUCGUGCUCCUCCUGUGUCUUGGAAUAAACCAAGAUGUCAUCAAUGAAAACUAUCACUGACCGAUCCAGCAUCGGUCUACACACGCGGUUCAUGAGGUCCAUGAACGCGGCAGGAGCAUUGGUGAGCCCAAACGGCAUCACCACGAACUCAUAAUGGCCAUAGCGCGUCCGAAACGCAGUCUUCUGUACAUCCUCCUCUCUGACCCUCAUCUGAUGAUAACCUGAACGCAAAUCGAUCUUGGAGAACCAAGAUGCUCCCUGUAACUGAUCAAAGAGGUCAUCAAUCCUCGGGAGUGGGUAACGGUUCUUCACCGUUACCUUAUUCAGCUCUCGGUAAUCUAUACACAUCCGAUGCGACCCGUCCUUCUUCUUCACAAACAGGAUCGGGGCUCCCCAGGGUGAACUGCUCGGUCGAAUAAAUCCCUUGUCUAGCAGCUCCUGCAGCUGCGUAGACAACUCCUGCAUCUCGGGAGGAGCCAACUGAUAGGGUGCCUUGGCUAUCGGAGCCGCACCAGGAACUAGGUCGAUCCUGAACUCUACCUGAUGCUCCGGAGGUAUUCCAGGAAGCUCCUCCGGUAAAACGUCAGUGUAGUCUUGCACCACUUGGACCUUGCUCACCGUCGCUUUACCCGUCUCUCGGGUAUCCAAAACAUACGCGACAUAUCUCGCGCAACCCUGCUGAAGGUAGCGCCUAGCUCUCGCUGCUGAACAUACUGCAGGUCCACAUUGUGGCCUCUCGCCGUGGAUCACUAACUCUCCCCCACUCGCGGUCCUGAUCCGCACUAGCUGCUGUGCGCAAUCUAUCACCGCCCCAUUAGAUCUCAACCAAUCCAUGCCUAUAAUCACCUUGUUCCACCGCAAUGGAUGGGAACCAAAUCCACCAAAUAGCGCUCCCCAAAUAACCUCAAAACACAAUCCCUGAACACUGCUGAUGCUCGUACCGAUCGAUCAUCGGCAAUCUCUACCUCUAAAGGGCAAUCCAACAUGCCCGAAGACUUUGUAAAUCUCUUGCUAAGCACAAGGGAAACAAAUGACCGGGUGGCACCCGAGUCAAACAACACCUGAAUUGGGAUACUGUUCACAUGGAACGAUCCUAACGCAUGAACACAGGGCACUUAUCAAUAACACAACAUCAUAAAAAUAAAAAUAGAGGGAAAGAAUCAUACCCGUCACCACGUCAGGUGCGGCGCAUGCCUCCUCUGCAGUCAGCUGAAACGCACGGCUCCUCUCCAUUGGAGCCUCUGCCUUGCCCUGUCGACCAUCUAUAAUCCGCAGGGUAGCUGGAGCUAGCGCCUUAACCGGCGCUGACGCUGUCAACUGGGGCCAAUUGGCCUUCUUGUGGCCCUUCUGGUUGCAAAGGAAACACAGAAACUCAGACGUCUGCAUCAUAGGUGCAGGGGCGGUACAAUCCCGGUUGAAGUGCCCUGACUUGCCGCACUUGUAGCAGCCUGACGAUCCUAUCUUGCAUGCUCCCUCGUGCGCCCUGCCGCAUUUCUUACAGCGGUCCCGUCCCUGUUGGCCUUUCUUCCCCGCACCCAAUCCUUUGGGCUUCUUUUCUGAAGCCCCAUAACCUGCCCCUCUUCCGCCUUCCUCUUCCGGAUGUGCUCCAGAUCUAUCUCCCUCUCCCUUGCCCUGGCAAUCAUAGAGUCCAGGGUAGGGCAAGCUGAAAAACUGACAUGCUCCCGAAUAUCAGCUCGUAGCAUGUCAUGAUAGCAGGUCCUCGUCAUAUCCUCCUCACCUACGUACUAGGGCACCAGCAACGCCCUCUCUUGGAACUUGGUGGUGAUCUCCGCCACAGUCUCCGUCGUUUGUCUCAUAUCCAAGAACUCCCUGGCCAGCUACUAAAGCUCAACAGCCAGCGCGAACUCUUCCCUGAACCUGGUCACAAAGUCCGACCAAGUCAUAGUCUCAACAGCCGAGGCUCCCAACGAGUCACCUACGGAGUCCCACCUCUAGCCGAAGCUAAUCAUCUGUGCAGACUCAAUGUCUGCAAUCCAUCGUCUGGCGACUAUGGGGUCCUUCGCCCCGUGAAAAUCCGGCGCACCACUGCCCCGGAAGUCCUUGAAGGACAGUGUGCGGGAUCCCGACUGGCAAGUUGCCAUGUCGCUCCUGAAUGCUCGGAGGCGAUCCUCCAUCAACUCCAAUAUCCCUUGAUCGACCCGAAGAUAAUGGGGGUCGACUCAAGGAUGCCUCUUGUGAUCUCUGACGCGAUGAACUCGCGUAACCCCUGAUCUACUGGCUCGGAACCUGAUCCAGAACCCGAUCCCUCUUCUGUAUUGCCAACUGCUGGCCUCGAGCGUACCACCACCAUUCUGAAAUACAUAAAUAAUAAUCGUUAGUGAUACUGAUACCUCUAGAGGAAUCACGCCUACUACAAGUUUCCUGGUUUUAUCUUGGCCUUCCUCGGUUCGGGUACGGAUCCUCUACUUUAUGUAGUACGGGCCCAUACUACCUUCCACAUAUAUCCGUACCUUCUCCAAGGACUGCCUUGACUCCAUUAGGUUCCUAUCACUACCACUGAUCACCGCUAUACUCAUCCUAGGCUUGCCCCAGGAAAAUCUCUAACUCCACUCGACCCGGUCCUCAACUGCUGAAGGCCUCCUUGUAAUGCCAGUUAGCCAUUACCUGAAUACCAUCACAUGUGAUGAGGCUCAGAUAAUCCUUUGAGUAACAGAUUCGUCCUUAUAAUGGUUAGAUUACUCAAACGAGAGCUACGCAAUAGGGCCAAAUCCAGCACUCUAAGAUUAUUCAACCCAGAUCACAUGUGACGUGACGUAUUCAUCUAAUGGCUAACUCCCAUCACUUAGAAUCCCACAAAGCACAAAGCAAGCAGCAUUCAGACAAAAAUGGAACAAUCUCACGCAAAUCCAUUCUCAUAGAGAGAGAAACUGAACUAGCAUACAGUACUAAACUCAUACUAUUAGGCAUAACCUUACACGCUAUCCUACUUCUGUCUACUCAAUUCUAGCAUGCAGUUUUCAUACACUGAAGCACAUAAGGAAGGCACAUAAGGCAUCACUCCUAGAUCCUUAGUUAUAUUCUAGCAUGCUAUUCUACUGAAACUGAUAAACAUAACAUAAGCUUGUAUGGGUACUUUGGGGGAAUACUUACUUGAGCUCGGCCAGUCGCGCACAUCACACACUUUGUUCUGUCUUAAAAUCCCUUACUUAGCCUUUUAGAAAACAUUUUCUCUUUCUAAAAUCUCUUAAUCCCUCAAUUUGAGUUCAAACACCCCCGCAGGUGUGUCCGAAUCCCUCAAACCAGGGCUCUGCUAGCAACUUGUAACAUCCCAAAAUACGAGCCAAAAAUUUCAUUUUUAAAACAUGUAUUUAGCAAAACAUUAGGAAUAAAACGCUCAACGCUCAUAUCAUUUCACAAAGAUAUUGCAUGUCUGGAAAACAUUUUUAUAAAACGUAAUAGUGUCAGAGUACAAAUCCCCAGGAAGAUCUCAUAAUGCGGAAUACAAAGCAUGUGUGUGAUGUACCGCUACCGCGCCGGCUCCUUCCCCUUCAAAGAAGAGGUACCUGAAACCAAAACUGAAUAGUGUAAGCACUAAGCUUAGUAAGUCCCGCCACUGUACCACAUACCAUAUAAUCACACGACAUAUAUACUAUCGGGCAUAUCUGGGUGCCCGACCUACCCCUUCGGUCCUUACGACCGGAUACUACCGGGCAUAUCUAGGUGCCCGACCUACCCCUUCGGUCCUUGCAACGGGAUACUGCCGAGCAUAUCUGGGUGCCCGACCUACCCCUUCAGUCCUUGCGACCGGAUACUGCCGGGCAUAUCUGGGUGCCCGACCUACCCCUUCGAUCCUUACCACUGAAUACUGGGGACUAUUUCACCCGCUACUGCUACCACAUAACAUAUCACAUAGCAUCAUAUCAUACUAGCACAUAAACAUAACACAGGUAGUAGCAACCCUAGAUGAAUAUCACAGAGACCAUCAUAUAUCAUACAUCUCCUACUGGUGGGCCGGCAUUGUGGCCGUAGACCCACCGCUACUGGAAGGGAACUCACCUCAAAGUAGCCGNGCUGAUCUGUGUGGGAACUGACUGUCUGCUGCUGCUGCCGCUCUGGAAACACUACUAGAAAAAAGGCCUUUUACGAUGCUCAUUGCGCGUCGUAAAAGGCUUAGACGACGCGCAAAUGCGUGUCAAGGAAGGCCAUGUCAUAAAUAUAGACGGCGCGCAUUUGCGCGUCGUCUAGAGACGACGCGCAUUUACGACGCGCAUUU
rnacentral:lncRNA from 1 species